UACGUAGGGAGCAAGCGUUAUCCGGAAUUAUUGGGUGUAAAGGGUGCGUAGACGGGAAAGCAAGUUGGCUGUGAAAUCCCUCGGCUUAACUGAGGAACUGCAACCAAAACUACUAUUCUUGAGUGCAGGAGAGGAAAGCGGAAUUCCUAGUGUAGCGGUGAAAUGCGUAGAUAUUAGGAGGAACACCAGUGGCGAAGGCGGCUUUCUGGACUGUAACUGACGUUGAGGCACGAAAGUGUGGGGAG
rnacentral:rRNA from 1 species